GUGGGGAAUAUUGCGCAAUGGGGGAAACCCUGACGCAGCAAUACCGCGUGAGUGAAGAAGGUUUUCGGAUCGUAAAACUCUUUUAUUGGGGAAGAAGAAGUGACGGUACCCAAUGAAGAAGUCCCGGCUAACUACGUGCCAGCAGCCGCGGUAAUACGUAGGGGACAAGCGUUGUCCGGAAUCACUGGGCGUAAAGGGCGCGUAGGCGGUUUUAUAAGUCAGAUGUGAAAGGUACCGGCUCAACCGGUGACGUGCAUUUGAAACUGUAAGACUUGAGUACUGGAGAGGCAAGUGGAAUUCCUAGUGUAGCGGUGAAAUGCGUAGAUAUUAGGAGGAACACCGGUGGCGAAGGCGGCUUGCUGGACAGAUACUGACGCUGAGGUGCGGAAGCGUGGGGAGCGAACAGGAUUUGAAACCCUUGUAGUCC
rnacentral:rRNA from 1 species